GGCUUCGUAGAUCAGGUGGUUGAGGAUUUGCUGCGUUUGGAUACGCAGUUUCUGCCGCUGGUUCAAAUCCAGCUGAUGCCU